rnacentral:misc_RNA from 1 species
ACCAAUCAAGGCAGGGAGUACUAAA